rnacentral:rRNA from 1 species
UACGUAGGUGGCAAGCGUUGUCCGGAUUUACUGGGCGUAAAGGGCGCGUAGGCGGCGCGGUAAGUCACUUUGUGAAAUCUCUGAGCUUAACUCAGAACGGCCAAGUGAUACUGCAGUGCUAGAGUGUGGAAGGGGCAAUCGGAAUUCUUGGUGUAGCGGUGAAAUGCGUAGAUAUCAAGAGGAACACCUGAGGUGAAGACGGGUUGCUGGGCCAACACUGACGCUGAGGCGCGAAAGCCAGGGGAGCAAACGGG